rnacentral:tRNA from 6 species
GCCCAGGUAGCUCAGUUGGUAGAGCAGGGGACUGAAAAUCCCCGUGUCGGCGGUUCAAAUCCGUCCCUGGGCACCA